rnacentral:lncRNA from 1 species
ACGAACUAAAUCCAAACUUCCUCGUCCGCGAACAGAUCGCCCGACCAAGGAACAAAGCCCGUUCCCAAGCCUCCCCUGCAUCCUCAUCCCGUUCAUCAUCCUUAUCCCUUAUCCAGCCGCCCCAAGCAUCAACCCAUUCUUUCGGAUUACUUCGCACCUUUUAUCCACGGAAGAGUUCAUCUUCUCCGAAAAUCAGGCAUCCGUCCCCAGUCAUCCGUGUUUGUUCCCAACGGCAUCAUCACUUUCUUCUUGUUCUGGACUCUUUCCAUUCACAAACAAAAUCCCAAAAUCCCCUGUUCCGCGUGAGAACCAGCAACCGCUAGUUCCCAAGUGGAUCCUCUUCUUUCUCCCGUUCGGAACCAAGACCCAGCUGAAUCCAAACUUCCUCCCAAACCAACCAAUCUUUAUCCCAACUAGAUUCCCAAGCUUCACGGAUUAGAACCGGAUCCUAGCUUCUUCCGCAUCCCGUGCCAUAUCCAGCCUCACGUCAUGUUGAUCCGGUCUUCAUCUCGCUCGUCAAGCAUCCCAACGUCCAAAUGCAUCCUCCCCUGCUUCAAAACUAUCAUCCUUAUCUUCUCAUCUCCUCCCGAGUAUCCCGUUCGUGAGUUCCUCCCAGAACAGCCGUGAUCCAAUCCCUUCUGUGUUCGGAUCAAGCAAUCAGUUCUUCUCCCCUAUUCCACGUCACCUUCCAGCUAACCUCGGGUGAUUUCCGUAUCUAAACUUCAUCUCCCCAUCGUAUCUCCAUCCCGUUUGCAUCCCAUUCAUAGUUCGGCAUCCAAAGCUCCUUCCAAAACAGAGUCCCAUGAUCCACGGGAUGAACCCAAAUUCCAUCUUCCGGCUUAAUCCCAGGGAGUCAUCCUCAUCCUGUGAGCAUCCCAAGCCCCCAGCCAUCACGAUUCAUCUUCCAUCCCCUGUUUCGGGAUUAAUUCCAUCCAAAUCCGGCCGUUCCCUCCUCCCACAACAUCCCAGCCAACUCCACAAACUGAACAAAGCUAGCAACCAAUCCCGUUCGCAAAUCAAGCAUCCUAUUCCGUGUCUUCAUCUCCAAAGCUUCAACGAAUCACAUCCUCAUGCAUCCCAGAUCCCAUCUUCUCCGGAUUAUUUUCAUUAGCAAGAUCUCCUCCCAGCCAUUCCAAGCUCCCGAGUUCAUCCUUAUCCACGGAUUCUUCCCAGCGUACCAGCCGCAUCCUUAUCCCACCGCAUCUUCAUCCUUAUCUGCACUCGAAACAGGGGAGAGGAGAAGGCUGGUGGAGGCUAUAAAAGGGGAGGAGACGGACCCCAUGAACCCAGCUCUCACAGGCCAAGUUCCCACGGGAAACAAAGGAGGGAGAGAAGUUUGGGACUUUUUGGGAAUGCCUUCUUAAAAGAAAAAAAUAAUGAAUGGCUAGAGAAGGAAGGAGAGAUCAAGGGAAGGGAGGAAGAAAAGAAGAAAUAGGAGCCCGCUGCUGUGCCACUGCUGCUGUCGCCCAUGAUUCCAUGGAAGGCUGAUCUUCUUUCUAGGGCCAGNN